AUUGAACGCUGGCGGCAUGCCUUACACAUGCAAGUCGAACGGCAGCACGGGAGCAAUCCUGGUGGCGAGUGGCGAACGGGUGAGUAAUAUAUCGGAACGUGCCCAGUCGUGGGGGAUAACGUAGCGAAAGCUACGCUAAUACCGCAUACGAUCUAUGGAUGAAAGCGGGGGAUCGCAAGACCUCGCGCGAUUGGAGCGGCCGAUAUCAGAUUAGGUAGUUGGUGGGGUAAAGGCUCACCAAGCCGACGAUCUGUAGCUGGUCUGAGAGGACGAACAGCCACACUGGGACUGAGACACGGCCCAGACUGCUACGGGAGGCAGCAGUGGGGAAUUUUGGACAAUGGGCGCAAGCCUGAUCCAGCAAUGCCGCGUGCAGGAUGAAGGCCUUCGGGUUGUAAACUGCUUUUGUACGGAGCGAAAAGGCUUCCACUAAUACUGGGGGCUCAUGACGGUACCGUAAGAAUAAGCACCGGCUAACUACGUGCCAGCCGCCGCGGUAACAC
rnacentral:rRNA from 1 species